GAUGAACGCUGGCGGCGUGCCUAAUACAUGCAAGUCGAGCGAACAGACGAGGAGCUUGCUCCUCUGACGUUAGCGGCGGACGGGUGAGUAACACGUGGAUAACCUACCUAUAAGACUGGGAUAACUUCGGGAAACCGGAGCUAAUACCGGAUAAUAUAUUGAACCGCAUGGUUCAAUAGUGAAAGACGGUUUUGCUGUCACUUAUAGAUGGAUCCGCGCCGCAUUAGCUAGUUGGUAAGGUAACGGCUUACCAAGGCAACGAUGCGUAGCCGACCUGAGAGGGUGAUCGGCCACACGGGAACUGAGACACGGACCAGACUCCUACGGGAGGCAGCAGUAGGGAAUCUUCCGCAAUGGGCGAAAGCCUGACGGAGCAACGCCGCGUGAGUGAUGAAGGUCUUCGGAUCGUAAAACUCUGUUAUUAGGGAAGAACAAAUGUGUAAGUAACUAUGCACGUCUUGACGGUACCUAAUCAGAAAGCCACGGCUAACUACGUG
rnacentral:rRNA from 1 species